rnacentral:rRNA from 1 species
UACAGAGGGGGCAAGCGUUGUUCGGAAUUACUGGGCGUAAAGGGCGCGUAGGCGGCCUUCUAAGUCGAACGUGAAAUCCCCGGGCUCAACCCGGGAACUGCGUCCGAUACUGGAAGGCUUGAAUCCGGGAGAGGGAUGCGGAAUUCCAGGUGUAGCGGUGAAAUGCGUAGAUAUCUGGAGGAACACCGGUGGCGAAGGCGGCAUCCUGGACCGGUAUUGACGCUGAGGCACGAAAGCGUGGGGAGCAAACAGG